rnacentral:piRNA from 1 species
UUAGUUUCUAAUUUUUUUAAA